GACGAACGCUGGCGGCGUGCCUAAUACAUGCAAGUUGAACGCAACAAAGACACCAGAGCUUGCUCUACCGUUUUUGUUGAGUAGCGAACGGGUGAGUAACGCGUGGGUAACCUGCCUUAUAGCGGGGGAUAACUAUUGGAAACGAUAGCUAAUACCGCAUAACAAUAGAGAUUGCAUAAUCUUUAUUUGAAAGUGCCAACUGGUACACUAUGAGAUGGACCCGCGUUGUAUUAGCUAGUUGGUAGUGUAAUGGACUACCAAGGCGAUGAUACAUAGCGACCUGAGAGGGUGAUCGGCCACAUUGGGACUGAAGACACGGGCCCAAACUCCUACGGGAGGCAGCAGUAGGGAAUCUUCGGC
rnacentral:rRNA from 1 species